rnacentral:other from 1 species
AAAAUCCUGGGUUGUUCGUUACGUCCUUAUUUUAAUCCCACAGUUAAAAUAAGGGAGCCCGGGUCUCUAUCCAGAGUACGUCAUGCCUGAGCAAGUGCUCAGGAAGGCGGAAGCGGGUGAGCAGGGCACCCACCUGCCAUAAGGCGGGUAUUAAAAAGGGGCGGACGGCAUCCUGGGAUCCAU